AUUACCCUGGGUAGGCUAAGUAACCUACGUAUAAAAGUAUGUCAGCUUCGCCUGCCCACUGUUGCCCUAAAACGCCGACUCCACGCCUCUUCUUCUCGCGAUCACCGGCUCUCCCUGGUGGCAGUCACUCCACCGAAUCGGCAGAGCUCCUCACCGAAGACUCGAGCUCAGAUCAAGCCUCGCAUCCCGCAGCUAGAUCCGUGGAGGACAUUUGGAUUCGGGUGGUAGCAAGGACAGAGCGGGGAUGUCUGGCAGAGGCGCAAGGACACGAAAGGCGAGUCCAAUCUCUAUGCAAGUUGCGAUAUCUGUGAGGUAUUGGUUAAGGAACUGGGAGUUGAUGGAGUCCUUAUCGACAAGUUCCAUGUGACUGUGAGGAUGACUUCCAGGAUAUGCCGGAAGGCCCUCGGACGGAGUAGACAAGGAGGCGGGAUGGACGCAUGGUUCUGUCCGUUGUCCGGGAGUACAGAGCCUAUUGGGUUUACUGCGAGAGAUUUUUCCUUUCUUUGUCAUUUGGGUGGGAACUGUUUGAGGAGUUUUUGUUCAACUUGAUAAACCUAGUUUGAUACUGUCGUGCCCAUUGGUUAUGAUAAUUUCUUUGAUGGUACUA